rnacentral:rRNA from 1 species
AGUGAACGCUGGCGGUAGGCCUAACACAUGCAAGUCGAACGGCAGCACAGUUAGAGCUUGCUCUUACGGGUGGCGAGUGGCGGACAGGUGAGGAAUACAUCGGAAUCUACUUUUUCGUGGGGGAUAACGUAGGGAAACUUACGCUAAUACCGCAUACGACCUACGGGUGAAAGCAGGGGAUCUUCGGACCUUGCGCGAUUGAAUGAGCCGAUGUCGGAUUAGCUAGUUGGCGGGGUAAAGGCCCACCAAGGCGACGAUCCGUAGCUGGUCUGAGAGGAUGAUCAGCCACACUGGAACUGAGACACGGUCCAGACUCCUACGGGAGGCAGCAGUGGGGAAUAUUGGACAAUGGGCGCAAGCCUGAUCCAGCCAUACCGCGUGGGUGAAGAAGGCCUUCGGGUUGUAAAGCCCUUUUGUUGGGAAAGAAAAGCAGCAGGUUAAUACCCCGCUGUUCUGACGGUACCCAAAGAAUAAGCACCGGCUAACUUCGUG